CAUGAGCAACGCGCGCCGGGCUCGAAUCAAAAACCCAGCGCCAGCAACGGGGACAGCCAACGGGGAAGCAAAGCACAACAGAAUGGCGGCCCUGCAGGCUGCACCUCCGGCCCCUCCCCCUCCUCGCGCAGCAAGCCCUCCGCCGUGCCAUCGCGCCACCCAUCCCCAACCGCCGCUUCCUCAGCUCCUCCUUCCCGCCAGCAGCAGCCGCCUCCGCCUCCCCGUCCCCGUCCGGCAGCGCUGGCUCGCUCCUGCCGACGAGCGCCACGGCCGUCGUGCCGGCCGCGCGCGGCGCUGGAUCCCUCGGCCUCCAUCAGCGAGGUGGGAUGUCUGGCUGGCUCCUUUCGUCGUCGGCGGCAUUGCUCCACCACGCCGCGCCCUGGGCGCACUGGACAACGACCCCCGCAGAUCACAUGGUGCUCAUGCUCCUGGGCGCCAACGCGUCCGUCUUCAUGCUCUGGCGCGUGCUCGCGUAUCCCGCCUUCAUGGCGGAUCCUUACAUGGUUUCGCUGGACUUGAACUUGGGCGGACGUCUGCACACGCUGCUCAUGAGCACCUCCAGCCUCGUGGAUCCAGCGUUCAUGGUGAAACAUUUCAUGGUUUCGCUGCCUGGUUUGGUGCGUUGGCGUUUCCACACAUUGCUCACGUAUGCUUUCAGCCACGUAGAUCCUAAACACCUCUUCAACAAUAUGUUUGGCCUCUACUUCUUCGGCUCAAGUGUUGCAAGAGAGUUUGGUCCUGCUUUUCUUUUAAAGUUGUACGUAGCAGGAGCACUUAGUGGGGCUCUGUUCUACUUGGCUGAAAUGUUAUUUCUAGCUCCACGGAGACAGGGUCCUGGUGGAUGGUUAACUCCUUGCCUUGUAAGUGAAUUCCUGUCUUAUAUUCGCAUCAUCUAUUACAGUGAAAUUUGCCCCGACCGACCAACUAUUUUUCAUCUUAUACAAAGAAAAAUAUUUUAUGGAAAAUGCGAUGAUCAGAGGGGAAUCGAUACAGUGAUUUCUUGGUAUAAUAUGAAACCACUAAAUGGAAACCGUUGGUGUUUUUGUACAAAUGUUGGAUGUUGCACACUAACUAUGAUCCUUAAUUUUAUGUCACUCAGGGUGCAAGUGCUGCAGUUAAUGCAACUGUUCUUCUCGAGAUCUUUCUGUAUCCAAAGAAACUAAUAUACUUACACUUCUUUCUUCCUGUUCCAGCUGCAUUAGUGGGAGCUGGUUUGAUUAUUGUUGAUUUGUGGAGGGUCAAGAAGGGUCAGAGCCGCGUGUCAGGCUCUUCUCAUCUAGGGGGUGCCCUAGUCGCCGCGGUUGCGUUUGCGGACAUCAAGGGCUGGAUCUGAUCAGGCAGUUUAC